UCGUCCUCCCCUUCUUCACCG
rnacentral:miRNA from 1 species